rnacentral:lncRNA from 1 species
CUUAAAACACUCAUGGGAACAUGUCCUAGCCUUCUAUGCCAAAGAUCAGGAUGAGAUGGUCUAGUUACUGCCAUGGACUUCCCCUUAUUUAUGAAAUCACCACUGUUGUGUGCAUUUAGUAUGUAUAAUCCAUCCUUCUCUCUACCAGUCACCUUCACUUUCCCAGUGCAAAGAUCCUGAAAUACACAGUGUUCAGGGUAAAAUGUAACAGAACAAUUUAGGUCCUUGGUCACCUUGGAAACAAACAUAAGGUU